rnacentral:rRNA from 1 species
AUUGAACGCUGGCGGCAGGCCUAACACAUGCAAGUCGAACGAGUGGCGGACGGGUGAGUAAUGUCUGGGAAACUGCCUGAUGGAGGGGGAUAACUACUGGAAACGGUAGCUAAUACCGCAUACCAUCGGAUGUGCCCAGAUGGGCUUAGCUAGUAGGUGGGGUAAAGGCUCACCUAGGCGACGAUCCCUAGCUGGUCUGAGAGGAUGACAGGCCACACUGGAACUGAGACACGGUCCAGACGCCUACGGUAGGCAGCAGUUGGGAAUAUUGGACAAUGGGGGCAAGCAUGAUGCAGCCAGGCCGCGUGUAUGAAGAAGGCCUUCGGGUUGUAAAGUACUUUCAGCGGGGAGGCGUUACCCGCAGAAGAAGCACCGGCUAACUCCGUGCCAGCAGCCGCGGUAAUAC